UGCUUAACACAUGCAAGUCGAACGAGAUCUUCGGAUCUAGUGGCGCACGGGUGAGUAACACGUGGGAACCUGCCUUUAGGUACGGAAUAACGUCUGGAAACGGACGCUAAUACCGUAUAUUUCCUCCGGGAAAAAGGUCCGCCGCCUAAAGAGGGGCCCGCGUCAGAUUAGCUUGUUGGUAGGGUAAUGGCUUACCAAGGCUACGAUCUGUAGUUGGUCUGAGAGGAUGAUCAGCCACACUGGGACUGAGACACGGCCCAGACUCCUACGGGAGGCAGCAGUGGGGAAUAUUGGACAAUGGGGGCAACCCUGAUCCAGCAAUGCCGCGUGUGGAUGAAGGCCCUAGGGUUGUAAAGCACUUUCAACGGUGACGAUGAUGACGGUAACCGUAGAAGAAGCCCCGGCUAA
rnacentral:rRNA from 1 species